rfam:Triticum urartu cultivar G1812 contig642202, whole genome shotgun sequence.
GGGAGUUGAGUGUUGAUGACAUUUAUGUGGACUAGAGUUUCUGAUACUGCCUCUUCAGCAGUACUUUUGAAGACAAACCCUUGGCCGUCUGACCUCCCCC